AACGAACGCUGGCGGCAGGCUUAACACAUGCAAGUCGAACGCAUCCUUCGGGGUGAGUGGCAGACGGGUGAGUAACGCGUGGGAACGUGCCCUUCAGUUCGGGAUAACCCAGGGAAACUUGGCUAAUACCGGAUACGUGCGAGAGCAGAAAGAUUUAUCGCUGAAGGAUCGGCCCGCGUCUGAUUAGCUAGUUGGUGGGGUAAUGGCCCACCAAGGCGACGAUCAGUAGCUGGUCUGAGAGGAUGAUCAGCCACAUUGGGACUGAGACACGGCCCAAACUCCUACGGGAGGCAGCAGUGGGGAAUAUUGGACAAUGGGCGCAAGCCUGAUCCAGCCAUGCCGCGUGAGUGAUGAAGGCCUUAGGGUUAUAAAGCUCUUUCGUCCGGGACGAUAAUGACGGUACCGGAAGAAGAAGCCCCGGCUAACUUCGUGCCAGCAGCCGCAGUAA
rnacentral:rRNA from 1 species